UUAUGCUGAGUAAUAUGCCGACGUAGGUCACUUAGACUGUAGUUCAAUGCAUUCUAAUUUAUUUUCGGAGCCUUAUUUCGAACGAUUAUCGCCAGAAAACAGGUCAGUAAAACUGAAGGCCAGUGCAGAUACUACCACGAAAGCUAAAAGUGUUAAGAUAAAGUUGAAUUUUGAUGUAAAAGGCUCAGAGGAAAGUGAGAAACUAAUGUAUGCAGGAUUACCCGCUCCAGCACAGCGAGGAAGUUUCAGAGGAUGGAAGGAUAAAAGUAGAGAUAUGUGUUUUUAUUGUGGCUCAGUUUUCCAGCAGCCGCACACACCCAGAGCAAAAAUGUAUUUGUGUAUUUCAUUUAACACAAAGGGAGAAAUGUUGGCUGACACUGAUAACAGCUUAUGUUUUCUCUGCCCUAUGUACCGACAUGAAGGAGAACGAACACCCUCUGUGUUUGCUGGACCCCCGGCAAGGAUGAAACCCCCCUCCAUUUUGUCCGGCACUCUAUGGCACCCACCGUCCAGAGGAAAGGGGAGAAAAAAUCCCC
rnacentral:sRNA from 1 species